ensembl:lncRNA
GAAGUUUUCAAAGAGUUGUUGGAUUCUGCAACUACGGAGAGACAAAAUCUGCUAUUUCUGGUUCUGCUGCUGAAGAACACAGAACGUCUCCAACAUGAGCAGGUAUUUUCUGCUUCAUCUCAUAACUUUAUGGCGACAUGCCGUCACCUGGUGGUGAUUUAAACGUCUACAUAUGAGGAUAAAAGACUCACAGGUCAAAUGAGUGCACCAGUUCUGUUGGACCAGCAGAGGGCGCCGAGGUAAAGCUGGUUCUGGUGUGACUCGGUAAAGAUGAUGUUCCAUCUCGACCACCAUGACUGAGGAGCUCCUCAAACAGCUGGUGUUCUAAAAGACGAUCAACCUGAUCAAUAAUCAAUAAACAGGAAACAGAAGAAACACACGUAUGACUGGAACUCAGCUGCUUCAUUCACUGUAAUGAUGACAUCAAAAUGAAGAAAACUUUGACACAACCAGAACCACAGUAGACCAGGACCAGAGUAGACCAGGACCGGGACCAGAGUAGACCAGGACCAGGGUGUUCCAAGAGCAGAACCAGGACCAGAGUGUUCCAAGACCAGGUCCAGGACCAGAGUAUACCAAGACUAGGACCAGGACUAGAGUGUACCAAGACCAUUACAAGGACCAGAGUCAACCAAGACCACUACUAGAAUGUACAAAGACCAGAACCUGGAGCAGACAGAAUCGAGACCAGGACCAGGACCAGAGUGUACUGAGACAAGACCAGGACCAGAAUGUACUGAGACCAAGACCAGGACCAGGACUAGAGUGUACCAAAACCUAGACUAGAACCAGAGUGGACCAAGACCAGGACCAGGAUCAAAGCAUACCAAGACCAGGACCAUGACCAGAGUGUACCAAGACUGGAACCAUGACCCGGACCAGAGUAUACCAAGACCAAGACCAGGACCAAGGUGAACCAAGACUUGAACCAGGACCAGAGUGGACCGAUACCAGGACCAGCACCUGAGUGUACCAAGACCAAGACAAGGACCAGAGUCUACCAAGACCAGAACCAGGGCCAGAGUGUUCUGGGACAAGACCAGGACCAGAGUAUGCUGAGACCUAGACCAGGACCAGAGUGGAACGAGACCACGACAAGUCCAAGACCAGACCAGUCCAAGGUCCACACUCUAUGAUAAACCUCUGUUAAAUGUGGAACAUGGAAACCAUCACACUGAACCAUGGAAACCAGCACCUGAAAGCUGCAACAGGAAGCCAAGAGGUGUGGAUGAUCUUCAGGAACUCUUCAGGUGAGGAGAUGAAGACAUUUCUGAAGAAGCUUCUGUGUUUCAGCACCAUUUAUACGUGAUCUCAGUCAUCUCAGUACAUAACUCAUUAGAGAAUUUACAUUCUGCUGUAGGUUUUAUUUUAUUCCAGCUGUUUCUCUGAUGAACUCACAGAUGCAUUUGGUAUAUUAUCUGGUGAAGUGUGUGUUUUUGGAGGAUUUUUGAAGUUUAAACUCAGCUUCCA